UACGGAGGAUCCGAGCGUUAUCCGGAUUUAUUGGGUUUAAAGGGAGCGUAGGCGGACGCUUAAGUCAGUUGUGAAAGUUUGCGGCUCAACCGUAAAAUUGCAGUUGAUACUGGGUGUCUUGAGUACAGUAGAGGCAGGCGGAAUUCGUGGUGUAGCGGUGAAAUGCUUAGAUAUCACGAAGAACUCCGAUUGCGAAGGCAGCUUGCUGGACUGUAACUGACGCUGAUGCUCGAAAGUGUGGGUAUCAAACAGGAUUAGAUACCCUGGUAGUCCACACAGUAAACGAUGAAUACUCGCUGUUUGCGAUAUACAGUAAGCGGCCAAGCGAAAGCGUUAAGUAUUCCACCUGGGGAGUACGCCGGCAACGGUGAA
rnacentral:rRNA from 1 species